rnacentral:rRNA from 1 species
GACGAACGCUGGCGGCGUGCCUAAUACAUGCAAGUAGAACGCACAGUUUAUACCGUAGCUUGCUACACCAUAAACUGUGAGUUGCGAACGGGUGAGUAACGCGUAGGUAACCUGCCUGGUAGCGGGGGAUAACUAUUGGAAACGAUAGCUAAUACCGCAUAAUAUUGAUUAUUGCAUGAUAAUUGAUUGAAAGAUGCUAUUGCAUCACAACCAGAUGGACCUGCGUUGUAUUAGCUAGUAGGUGAGGUAACGGCUCACCUAGGCGACGAUACAUAGCCGACCUGAGAGGGUGAUCGGCCACACUGGGACUGAGACACGGCCCAGACUCCUACGGGAGGCAGCAGUAGGGAAUCUUCGGCAAUGGACGAAAGUCUGACCGAGCAACGCCGCGUGAGUGAAGAAGGUUUUCGGAUCGUAAAGCUCUGUUGUAAGAGAAGAACGGGUGUGAGAGUGGAAAGUUCACACUGUGACGGUAUCUUACCAGAAAGGGACGGCUAACUACGUG